GACGAACGCUGGCGGCGUGCUUAACACAUGCAAGUCGUACGGUAAGGCCCUUUCGGGGGUACACGAGUGGCGAACGGGUGAGUAACACGUGAGUAACCUGCCCACAACUUUGGGAUAACGCUAGGAAACUGGUGCUAAUACUGGAUAUGUGCUCCUUCUUCAUGGUGGGGGUUGGAAAGCUCCGGCGGUUGUGGCUGGAUUGGCUGCCUAUCAGCUUGUUGGUGGGGUUGUGGCCUACCAAGGCGGCUACGGGUAGCCGGCCUGAGAGGGUGACCUGCCAUAUUGAGACUGAGAGACGGCACAGACUGGGACGGGAGGAAGCAGGGGGAAAUACUGACCGAGGGGCGCAGGCCUGAUGCAGCAACGCCGCGGGCGGGAUGACGGCCUUAGGGUUGUAGAACGCUUUCAGAAGGGACGAAGCUUAUUGUGACGGUACCUAAAGAAGAAGCAACGGCUAACUACGUG
rnacentral:rRNA from 1 species